GGAUCUGAUUGAACUCGGUUUAAACGCUGACGACUCUCGGAGAUUAUAAAGCGACGGAGUCCAAAGUCCGACUUGGGAGUGGCAAAGAAUUCCCGGACUGAAAAAUCUGUUAGCGUUAUAUCACAGUUAACGGUAUAGAGAAUAAAAUAAAAUGAAACAAGUUUUCAUAAAGUGCAAUAUUGUGAAUGUAAGCGGCGGCACCACGACGGCGCACAAUUCAAAAAAAAACAAAGUUAAUAAAAAGAAGCGCAAGGGUCCAAAAAAACGCAAAACAGUACCACCACCUCCACCUCCACCACCACCACAACCAACACCUCCAACGAUAGAAACGGAGCGACGGGCUCGCCGCAAUGCGGAGGAGGAGGUCGAGCGUUUGAGGUUGCUUUUGCAAAAAACCACAACGGCGGCCUCCUCCUCCUGCACCGAGGACUGCGGCGGCGGAUCGGGUGGUCUACCGGGUCAAGGUAUGAAAUACACACGUACAAUAGAGGCAGAACUGAUAAAGAUUGAUUUUUCAAAAAAUCAAAUUGUUUAAUAAAAUAAUAUGGAAUAAAUUUUUCGUUCAAAGCUAAGGAUAUUUAUUUACGGUAAACCAAUAAUAGCUGAUUAAGUAGAGUACGCGAGAGUUUAUUAUUAAUUCUUAGUGCUGCGUUCUGCCUCUUGCAUUUAUUUAUCUCAUAUUGUUACAAUAGAUGCAUAACGAUA